GGAUAUGAUGAUAGUAUUUUGUCGCCCCAGUCUUAAUUUGCACCACAAGGUGUAAGAUGGUGAUUGACUUUAUAUCUGAUCC
rfam:Vigna angularis cultivar Jingnong 6 chromosome 1, whole genome shotgun sequence.